UAGUCUACAUAAGAAGUGUCGAUAGUUUGACCGUGAUUGUGUUAAAUGAGUCAUAUGGGCAAAUGUAAAGUAAAGAAACAAAAGAAUGAUCGUAAUGAGCAUGCAGACCUAAGUUAUAAAACGAAAGAAGGAAGUUUUGAACAAGGUAUGUGUUAAAUGUGUUAGAAAUCGACUCUUAGAAGUCAGAAUGAAUGACGGGCUAUGACCCAGACAAUGGUUUAAGUAUGAACAAAAAGGGUAAGUUUGUUAAGAAUACUAAAACGAUGUAAUGAAUGUCUUUGUAAGUAAGCAUGAAUGGAAGGAAGCACGAAUGUGUACUUCAAUGCAUCUAUGAUAAGUAAGAAAAUUCAGUUUAACCUUAAAAGGUCAAACUGCAAAGGUUGACGAAAUAAGUAACUAAAAUGAAAGAAUUGCGUGUAAGAAAUGGAAUGUAAGAUGUGUUAUAGCAUGUACGCAGGAAAUAUGUAACAGAAUUAUAGGUGUGUAAUCACCUAGUGUUAUGAAUGUUUGAAUGACAUAUGCUAACCGCCGAUGUUGUUGAUGAUAAUGUUAGAACUAUUGAUGCGAUGAAACCAAUCGUAUUGGUGAAAGGACGUGCACGAGCGGAAGCUCAUAACACGAAGGAAUGAAACUUGGCCUGUACGGCUAGUGCACGAGGAGAAGAUGAUCGAUCAGGGUUGCGGAUCGUGGUUGGGAAAUGAAAAAGAGAAAUUCAGCAAAUUGAGGAUGAAAUAGGACAAGAUUCUUAUGCAUGUGAUGAAAUUCUUAAUCAUCUAAGAGUUCUCUACAUAAGGAUAGGAACCACACUAGCAUGGACCAAGCAUGAAAGGCUAACGGGUCGAAAUGAGGCAAGGAAGCGGUUACGAACAUGGAUGCACGAGGUAAGUGAUUUCCGUAAUCACUUCUUAUUUUGUUUAAGUAAUGUAGUGUUAGUUAAUUGAGCAUGAUGAUGAUUGAAAUUUGAUAUGGUUUUGGUUGUAUGAAAUCGGUGAAGACAUUACCAUUUGGCAAUAUUGACUAAUGAAUUGUUUGUCAAGUAUUAUGCAUUCACAGGAUGAUUAGCGAAAGGGAUUAUGUUGCUAUUACUUAGUCA